UACAGAGGGGGCAAGCGUUGUUCGGAAUUACUGGGCGUAAAGGGCGCGUAGGCGGCCACCUAAGUCGGACGUGAAAUCCCUCGGCUCAACCGAGGAACUGCGUCUGAUACUGGGUGGCUUGAGUUCGGGAGAGGGAUGUGGAAUUCCAGGUGUAGCGGUGAAAUGCGUAGAUAUCUGGAGGAACAUCUGUGGCGAAGGCGGCAUCCUGGACCGACACUGACGCUGAGGCGCGAAAGCCAGGGGAGCAAACGGG
rnacentral:rRNA from 1 species